rnacentral:rRNA from 1 species
UAAGCAAUUAUACCGCGAAACUGCGAAUGGCUCAUUAUAUAAGUUAUAGUUUAUUUGAUAGCACCUUACUACAUGGAUAACUGUGGUAAUUCUAGAGCUAAAACAUGCUAAAAAUCCCGACUUCGGAAGGGAUGUGUUUAUUAGAUUAAAAACCAAUGCCCUUCGGGGCUGCUUGGUGAUUCAUGAUAACCUCUCGAAUCGCACGGCCUUGCGCCGGCGAUGGUUCAUUCAAAUUUCUUCCCUAUCAACUUUCGAUGCGAAGGUAUUGUCUUCGCAUGGUUACAACGGGUAACGGAGGGUUAGGGCUCGACCCCGGAGAAGGAGCCUGAGAAACGGCUACUACAUCCAAGGAAGGCAGCAGGCGCGCAAAUUACCCAAUCCCGACACGGGGAGGUAGUGACAAUAAAUACUGAUACAGGGCUCUUUUGGGUCUUGUAAUUGGAAUGAGUACAAUUUAAAUCCCUUAACGGGGAACAAUUGGAGGGCAAGUCUGGUGCCAGCAGCCGCGGUAAUUCCAGCUCCAAUAGCGUAUAUUAAAGUUGUUGUGGUUAAAAAGCUCGUAGUUGAACCUUGGGCCUGGCUGGCCGGUCCCCCUCACCGGGUGCACUGGUCCGGCCGGGCCUUUCCCUCUGUGGAACCGCAUGCCCUUCACUGGGUGUGCCGGGGAAACAGGACUUUUACUUUGAAAAAAUUAGAGUGCUCCAGGCAGGCCUAUGCUCGAAUACAUUAGCAUGGAAUAAUAGAAUAGGACGUGUGGUUCUAUUUUGUUGGUUUCUAGGACCGCCGUAAUGAUUAAUAGGGACAGUCGGGGGCAUCAGUAUUCAAUUGUCAGAGGUGAAAUUCUUGGAUCUAUUGAAGACUAACUACUGCGAAAGCAUUUGCCAAGGAUGUUUUCAUUGAUAAGGAACGAAAGUUAGGGGAUCGAAGACGAUCAGAUACCGUCGUAGUCUUAACUAUAAACUAUGCCGACUAGGGAUCGGACGGUGUUUAUACUUGACCCGUUCGGCACC